rnacentral:rRNA from 1 species
AUUGAACGCUGGCGGCAGGCCUAACACAUGCAAGUCGAGCGAGCGGCGGACGGGGGAGUAAUGUCUGGGAAACUGCCUGAUGGAGGGGGAUAACUACUGGAAACGGUAGCUCAUACCGCAUACCAUCAGAUGUGCCCAGAUGGGAUUAGCUAGUAGGUGGGGUAACGGCUCACCUAGGCGACGAUCCCUAGCUGGUCUGAGAGGAUGACCAGCCACCCUGGAACUGAGACACGUGCCAGACUCCUGCGGGAGGCAGCAUUGGGGACUAUUGCACAAUGGGCGCAAGCCGUAUUCAGCCAUGCCGCGUGUGUGAAGAAGGCCUUCGGGUUGUAAAGCACUGUCAGCGGGGAGGCGUUACCCGCAGAAGAAGCACCGGCUAACUCCGUGCCAGCAGCCGCGGUAAUUC